rnacentral:misc_RNA from 1 species
AAAAAGGCAAAUUUGAAAUGAAACGAAGGGUGAAAGAGGAGAUCUUCUCACAUGAGCAACCAAUCAUAUGUGAAUUCAUUUUUAAUUCAUAAUUGCUACAGUGAAGGAAAACAUCAAAACUAGCCCAAGAAAACGAAUUGCAUGCUUCGAAUGCAUUGUGGAAAUCUGCCACCCUCAUCUUCCACCAGAUAGCUCAAUAGCAUCCUGGUUAUAUGAUGAAUCUUCUCCCCAGUCAAAUCUUCUCUGCAGCCUUUCAUAUUCUUGCCUGCGUGUAACCUCAACAUGCUGCCACUCUUCCCAUCUCUCAGCCAGACCCUCUCCUUCCAGCAUUCGCACAACCUCUGACAUUGCUGGACGGUCUUCUGGUGAUGCUUGGGUACAGAGUAAUGCAACUUGGAUCAUCAUCUCCACUUCCUGAAUGUCGUAAUGUUUAUGAAGGUUGCGAUCUACAAUAGCAUCCAGUCUUUUUUCCCUCUCCAGCUUUUUGACAUGGUCGAGCAACAAGACAUCAUCCUCCUCUUCCAACCGUGAAAAGUCAAUUGCCCGUUGACCUGUUACAAGCUCUAGAAGCAU